rnacentral:rRNA from 1 species
AGAGUUUGAUCCUGGCUCAGGACGAACGCUGGCGGCGUGCUUAACACAUGCAAGUCGAACGGUGAAAGGAAGCUUGCUUCCUGGAUCAGUGGCGAACGGGUGAGUAACACGUGAGCAAUCUGCCCUUGACUCUGGGAUAAGCGUUGGAAACGACGUCUAAUACCGGAUACGACCCUCGGAGGCAUCUCCUGGGGGUGGAAAGAAUUUUGGUCAAGGAUGAGCUCGCGGCCUAUCAGCUUGAUGGUGAGGUAAUGGCUCACCAUGGCUUCGACGGGUAGCCGGCCUGAGAGGGUGACCGGCCACACUGGGACUGAGACACGGCCCAGACUCCUACGGGAGGCAGCAGUGGGGAAUAUUGCGCAAUGGGCGGAAGCCUGACGCAGCGACGCCGCGUGGGGGAUGACGGCCUUCGGGUUGUAAACCUCUUUCAGCAGGGACGAAGCCGUGAGGUGACGGUACCUGCAGAAGAAGCACCGGCCAACUACGUGCCAGCAGCCGCGGUAAUACGUAGGGAGCAAGCGUUGUCCGGAUUUAUUGGGCGUAAAGAGCUCGUAGGCGGCUUAGAAAGUCAGGUGUGAAACCUCCAGGCUCAACCUGGAGACGCCACUUGAUACUUCUAUGGCUUGAGUUCGGUAGGGGUAAGCGGAAUUCCUGGUGUAGCGGUGAAAUGCGCAGAUAUCAGGAGGAACACCGAUGGCGAAGGCAGCUUACUGGGCCGAUACUGACGCUGAGGAGCGAAAGCGUGGGGAGCGAACAGGAUUAGAUACCCCUGUAGUCC